ACAGCAAUAUGUAACAAAACCAAAAACAACAAGUCACAAUGAAACCUGUCUGGCAACUACUUCCAAGUAAAAGUUCAGCUUUCUUUGGCAAACUGUUUGUCCAGCACCAAGUAAACAAAUUACAGGCACUACCCCCAUUUAUUACGAAGUUGCGUUCUUUGCAUGAGUACAGUUUACACUGACAGCCAGAGGUCCCUGAUCUUUUCUUUCUCACAGUCCAUUGUUGAAAAAUGCUAAUAAAUAUAUGUCUCUGUAAAGCCUCGAAAAUUACACAGAUCACCUAAAACGUAAACUAAAAUACUAAAUCACGGGAUUAUGGACAUGGUGGAAUUCCUGGAGUUGACUAAAGAGGUGGUGAGAAGGAGAAAGAAUUGGGCGAGUUGGUCCUGGAGAGAUAUUCAUGCU